rnacentral:snRNA from 1 species
AUAAAUAAUUGGAAUGAUACAGAGAAGAUUAGCAUGGCUCCUGGGCAACGAUGACACAAAUUCGGGAAGUGUUUCAUGUUUUC